AGAGUGAGACCGGUGGAAUAUAUGUGACGAGGAAGUCGCUUUGACUAGUGACGUCCUGUUAGCGCUGCGCUAGCAUGUUACUGCCGUGUCUCAGUGAUUGUUUUACAGUCUGGACGUCCUCAUGGCAUCGCACUGCCUCCCACAGUUCAACCGUGGUACUACGACAGACAUCUGUUUUUGGGCUGCUGUGCUUUGUUGCAACUAUAAAGCAAGGCAACCGGCACGGACCACAGGAAGGCGGCGCUGCGCUCACCGCUCUGGUGACGGACAGGAAGCGGUCGUAGCUGAUGAGGACGAUGCUGAAGACGGACGCGGAGCACAGCAGGUAGUCCGUGACCAGCCACAGCUUGCACAGCCCCCUGCCCAGCGUCCAGCGGCCACGCAGGAUGUAAGGGAUGUACACGGGGAUGCAGAACGCUCCUGGAUAGAACGGAACAGAAUCAAAUGAAUGAAGGAAUCCCUGAGGGAUUCUUGGUCUGGACCCGACGACCGACGCUUACGCUUAUCAGGAGGAACUGCACUUUUCGUCUUCAGCUCUGUGAACACGAGUUCGACGUCUUGCUUGAAUCUCCGCCACACAUCUGGUAAAUUGGAUGAGUCCCAGUCCAUCCUGGGGCUUGGAACAUCGAACGCCUCCAUCGUGGUCUUUCGUCGUCGUCUUCGUUCAACCCCCCC